AAUAGAUACCCCGGUAGUCCACGCCGUAAACGGUGAGUGCUAAGUGUUAGAGGGUUUCCGCCCUUUAGUGCUGCAGCUAACGCAUUAAGCACUCCGCCUGGGGAGUACGGCCGCAAGGCUGAAACUCAAAGGAAUUGACGGGGGCCCGCACAAGCGGUGGAGCAUGUGGUUUAAUUCGAAGCAACGCGAAGAACCUUACCAGGUCUUGACAUCCUCUGACACUCCUAGAGAUAGGACGUUCCCCUUCGGGGGACAGAGUGACAGGUGGUGCAUGGUUGUCGUCAGCUCGUGUCGUGAGAUGUUGGGUUAAGUCCCGCAACGAGCGCAACCCUUGAUCUUAGUUGCCAGCAUUCAGUUGGGCACUCUAAGGGUGACUGCCGGUGACAAACCGGAGGAAGGUGGGGAUGACGUCAAAUCAUCAUGCCCCUUAUGACCUGGGGCUACACACGUGCUACAAUGGAUGGUACAAAGGGCAGCAAAGCCGCGAGGCCUAGCCAAUCCCAUAAAACCAUUCUCAGUUCGGA
rnacentral:rRNA from 1 species